rfam:Ipomoea nil DNA, scaffold: scaffold2791, cultivar: Tokyo-kokei standard.
GACGGUUUGGCCGAGUGGUCUAAGGCGCCAGAUUUAGGCUCUGGUCUGAAAGGGCGUGGGUUCAAAUCCCACAGCCAUCA